GCAGUUGAAGCCAGCUACACUAACAGGAAGGAAUAACACCCGUGCCAGCUCCUCUCUGGACGGUCUACACAGUCGCAUUUCACUGAUCUGGACUCUGCUCUGCACCUCCCUUGCUGACCUCAGGCAGCUUCAUCGGCUAGCUGCUUUCACAGCUGCAGGACAUAGGAAUAGAAUUGGAUCUUAGGAUCAGUGCAUCUUCAACUCGAUAAGGAAAUGCCAUUCACGUUCCCAAAGUGUGUGUGCCGUUCUACAUCCAAACAGCCAAACAGCAACUGUGUGAGUUCCAGCUGAUUUUCAGUUCUGCCAUUUGAAAACUACUGUCUCUCUGCUUCUUUAGUAAAAAGAGUAAGAGAUGGCUCUUGUCCAAGGAUUGGGAACUACGAGGAGGAUGGAUAAGGACGUUUGCAGUUUACCUUCCUGGGACUGGGGUGACAGCUCAGUGGUCCAAGUCAUGCGCCACCGCUCUUGGGGAGUCUUGCCCAGCACCUGUGGCCGGCGGCUCAUCCCUGCCUGCAACUCUAGUUCCAGGAGUUCAAC